rnacentral:rRNA from 1 species
CCAGACUCCUACGGGAGGCAGCAGUGGGGAAUAUUGGACAAUGGACCGAGAGUCUGAUCCAGCAAUUCUGUGUGCACGAUGAAGUUUUUCGGAAUGUAAAGUGCUUUCAGUUGGGAAGAAAUAAAUGACGGUACCAACAGAAGAAGUGACGGCUAAAUACGUGCCAGCAGCCGCGGUAAUACGUAUGUCACAAGCGUUAUCCGGAUUUAUUGGGCGUAAAGCGCGUCUAGGUGGUUAUAUAAGUCUGAUGUGAAAAUGCAGGGCUCAACUCUGUAUUGCGUUGGAAACUGUGUAACUAGAGUACUGGAGAGGUAAGCGGAACUACAAGUGUAGAGGUGAAAUUCGUAGAUAUUUGUAGGAAUGCCGAUGGGGAAGCCAGCUUACUGGACAGAUACUGACGCUGAAGCGCGAAAGCGUGGGUAGCAAACAGGAUUAGAUACCCUGGUAGUCCACGCCGUAAACGAUGAUUACUAGGUGUUGGGGGUCGAACCUCAGCGCCCAAGCAAACGCGAUAAGUAAUCCGCCUGGGGAGUACGUACGCAAGUAUGAAACUCAAAGGAAUUGACGGCGCCCGCACAAG